ensembl:snRNA U1 U1 spliceosomal RNA
AUACUUACCUGGCAGGGGAGAUACCAUGAUCAAGAAGGUGGUUCACCCAGGGCGAGGCUUGGCCAUUGCACUCCGGCCACGCUGACCCCUGCGAACGGCGGUGGGACGUAUGGUACACUGUUAAAAAUUGUCCCGUUAAAAAACAGU